rnacentral:tRNA from 1 species
GCCGGCGUAGCUCAAUCGGCAGAGCAGCCGCCUUGUAAGCGGCAGGUCAUGGGUUCGAUUCCCGUCGCCGGCUCCA